CGCCACCGCUGAAACACCGGCGUUUCGACAACAUGGAGCAUUAUUUCACUGCUUCUCUCUCAAUGCUGCCGCGACUCGGAUUCGAGGAUGUUGAAAGAAUAGUUGUACGACAUUCAACAACUAAAGAAGCAAGGCUGAGCAAGGGCUAUAAAUUCUUUGUUGAGGAGUUUAUUCACAAUUAUCAAGGUAAGUUGACAACUAGCUGACGCUAGCAUCUGCAACAUUAUGAAUGCUAACCAUUUCGUAUGUGUUCAGUCUCGAAUGUUGUUGAACGGAAGGUGGUAGUGAGAGCAAGGUGUUAUCGUUCUAUGAGGAAAAAUGAGGAGCCCCACACACUAGAGGUUAUAUGUAAAUAAUAUGCCUGUUGGCUUAUGAGUACAUCAGAUCAGCUAUUACUGUUCUGACUGCAGGUCACUCCAUUUUAGUUAAAAUAACUGCGGUUGCAGAUUUUCAAUUCCCUUUCUUUUACUUUCACCUGUCGUAACGUUUUCUCUCUCUCUUUUUUUUAAGUUACAUCUCUUAAAUCUUAUGCGGUUGCAGACUUUAUCUAUAUUUCUUGCCUUUGCUGCUGUUUGCAGCUUUCAAUUAAAAGCACGUAAUGUAGCUGACAGCUCAUAAUUACAAUUCAUUAGCUAAACAAUUGUCUUCUCAAACAGAUAGCAUUGGAAUCGGAAGAGGUCGUUAGUGUUGCUGACUAUAUUUGCAGCUGUGCAGCUGGUAAAGGAUUGUGCAACCAUCUGACAGCACUUUUGUAUCAGACAGCCCACUACGUGCAGCUCAAACCGUCCCACCACCACUGGCCUGCACGAGUGAGCCACAGAGAUGGCAUCGUCCAAGAACACAGGCAUUACAUGCAGAGGCAGUGAGUGAACUUUGGAUAGUGAAACCAAAAUCAGUUGGGAAGACUGGAAUCAAGUCUACCCUAUACAAGGUUUACACGGGUCCCCUUCCAGAUGCUGAUGUCUUUGCUUCUGGUGCAAAACUAAAUCGGAUAAAUCCCAAGCCUAUGCUGGCACACAUACUUGAGGGUAUGUCAAAAAUAGAGUUGGUCCCCUCACAAUUUGGUCCUGUACCUCUUGGCAGUCCACUUUCUUACCAAUGUCCCCCUAUAGCUGCAGGUGUUCCUGAUGUUAAUUUUCCCCCACUACCUGUGCUUGGUUAUGAGUUUAGCUGUAAUUUUAAAUUUGUGCCCACACACCAUCAAGCACUUCAUCUGGAGUCUAUAAAGGUUACCCAUAGCUCAGCUUGCCAGAUUGAGGAGGCCAAAAGACUACAGUCAAAAUGCACUGCUUGGGGACAAAUUCGGAAAUCAAGGGUUACUGCAAGCAGGUUCCCGGGAGGUUUGUCAUGUGGUUGGGGAUUCAGCUAGUCAGUCAUUGGCCACAAGAAUCAUUAAGGGCACAAAGCAGACAAGUGCUAUGAAACUUGGCCUUGAACUUGAGCCAGAUAUUUUGAGAAAAUAUUCUGAGACAGCCAGUGUUAGUGUCCUACCAUGUGGCUUUAUUAUCAACACAGAAGUACCACAUCUGGGAACUAGUCCAGACGGACGAGUCCACAAUCCAUCUGAAAAAUUCCAGUUUGGACUAGUGGAGGUAAAAAGCACCUCUGCUGACAAUAUUGCUCAGGUUCCGUUUUUGAAAAUUCAAUGAGGAAUAGCCAAACUUAAAGAGAGCCAUAAGUACUACUGGCAGGUACAAGGUCAGCUUGCCAUUACUG